rnacentral:rRNA from 1 species
UACGUAGGUGGCAAGCGUUGUCCGGAUUUACUGGGCGUAAAGGGUAUGCAGGCGGGUGCCUAAGUAGGAAGUGAAAGGUUGGGGCUCAACCCUAACACUGCUCCCUAUACUGGGCGCCUGGAGGGCCGGAGAGGACGAGGGAACGACCCGUGUAGCGGUGAAAUGCGUUGAGAUGGGUCGGAACACCUAUGGCGAAAGCACUCGUCUGGACGGUAGUUGAGCUUUGUGCUUGACUUUAAAUCUGACGCUGAGAUACGAAAGCCAAGGGAGCAAACAGG